rnacentral:rRNA from 1 species
CCUACGGGGGGCAGCAGCGGGGAAUAUUGCACAAUGGGGGAAACCCUGAUGCAGCGACGCCGCGUGAGUGAAGAAGUAAUUCGUUAUGUAAAGCUCUAUCAGCAGGGAAGAAAAUGACGGUACCUGAGUAAGAAGCCCCGGCUAACUACGUGCCAGCAGCCGCGGUAAUACGUAGGGGGCAAGCGUUAUCCGGAUUUACUGGGUGUAAAGGGAGCGUAGGUGGCAGGGUAAGCCAGAAGUGAAAACCCGGGACUAAACUCCGCGGAUUGCUUUUGGAACUAUCAGGCUGGAGUGCUGGAUGGGUA